UAUUAACUUGAAAAUAUAGGUUGAACACAAAUAUAGGUCGACCCUUAUCUUUUUGGAAAAACAUAAAACUUUUAACAUGACCCACCUUUAUUUACCGCAAGCUCCGCUCCUAAAUUUCGCUAGUCGAUGCCACAAGCCGCAUCCUCGUUGGAACUCCCAGAGAAGUCGUUUUCAUCAGAUGCUUCGUAGGGCAUCCUCGGAACCCUGAACGACGUUGUCCUCAAUGCCAUUGAGUGCUUUGGAUAUGCAGUAUUUCUUAAACCCAGUCUGGAUAAUCUCCCAACUGGGUUUAUGGUGAUGUGCGAUGGAGGAUCUCAAUUAGCUUGGUACUUUUGCAAGCUUUGUCCAAGAAUAUGGGUCGAGAUUCUUUGGUCAUGAAUAUAGGUCGAUAGCUCAUUUUGGCUAACAUUUCCGG
rnacentral:lncRNA from 1 species